GACGAACGCUGGCGGCGUGCCUAAUACAUGCAAGUCGAACGCAGUGGGGACUGGUGAGUAACACGUUGGUAACCUCCCAUCAGAGGGGAUAACACUUGGAAACAGGUGCUAAACCGAUACUGAUUGAUGUACCCGCGGUGCAUUAGCUAGUUGGUGAGGUAACGGCUCACCAAGGCCACGAUGCAUAGCCGACCUGAGAGGGUGAUAGGACACACUGGGACUGAGACACGGGCCAGACGCCUACGGGAGGCAGCAGUAGGGAAGAUUCGGCAAUGGACGAAAGUCUGACCGAGCAACGCCGCGUGAGUGAAGAAGGUUUUCGGAUCGUAAAACUCUGUUGUUAGAGAAGCGGUAUCUAACCAGAAAGCCACGGCUAACUACGUGCCAGCAGCCGCGGUAAUUC
rnacentral:rRNA from 1 species